rnacentral:rRNA from 1 species
CGUAUCCUACGGGGGGCAGCAGUGAGGAAUAUUGGUCAAUGGCCGGAAGGCUGAACCAGCCACGCCGCGUGAAGGACGAAGGUGCCAAGCAUUGUAAACUUCUUUUGUCAAGGGACAAAAUCAGGCUCGAGAGCCUGACCGAGGGUACUUGAAGAAAAAGCAUCGGCUAACUCCGUGCCAGCAGCCGCGGUAAUACAUAGGGGGCAAGCGUUAUCCGGAAUUAUUGGGUGUAAAGGGUGCGUAGACGGAAGAACAAGUUGGUUGUGAAAUCCCUCGGCUCAAUUGAGGAACUGAAACUAAAACUA